GCAAGUCGAGGGGUAACAGGGAGUGCUUGCACUCUGCUGACGACCGGCGCACGGGUGCGUAACGCGUAUGCAACCUACCUUCUACAGGGGGAUAGUCCAGAGAAAUUUGGCAUAAUACCCCAUACGAUCAUUUAUUGGCAUCGAUAGAUGAGGAAAACUCCGGUGGUAGAAGAUGGGCAUGCGUCCUAUUAGUUAGUUGGUAAGGUAACGGCUUACCAAGACAUCGAUAGGUAGGGGUCCUGAGAGGGAGAUCCCCCACACUGGUACUGAGACACGGACCAGACUCCUACGGGAGGCAGCAGUGAGGAAUAUUGGACAAUGGAGGCAACUCUGAUCCAGCCAUGCCGCGUGCAGGAAGACGGCCCUAUGGGUUGUAAACUGCUUUUAUACAGGAAGAAACGCCGCUACGUGUAGCGGUUUGACGGUACUGUACGAAUAAGGAUCGGCUAACUCCGUGCCAGCAGCCGCGGUAAUACGGAGGAUCCAAGCGUUAUCCGGAAUCAUUGGGUUUAAAGGGUCCGUAGGCGGUUUUUUAAGUCAGAGGUGAAAUCCUGCAGCUCAACUGUAGCAUUGCCUUUGAUACUGAAAGACUUGAGUUAUUGUGAAGUAGUUAGAAUGUGUAGUGUAGCGGUGAAAUGCAUAGAUAUUACACAGAAUACCGAUUGCCAAGGCAGAUUACUAACAAUAUACUGACGCUGAGGGACGAAAGCGU
rnacentral:rRNA from 1 species